AUCAUUCUGUAAAAAAUGGCCUUGAUGGCAGGUAGGCUAGUGCUGGUGAUGUGUUGGGAAGGGCUUUCAGCGACUUUUGUGAAGUCAGGAUGACCCAAAUGUUUCACAGCUGAUUAAAUACUUGUGAAGUGCAGUCAAAAAUGUGAUGUACAAAACAUAGCAGACAAUUUGUUCUUGAAGUUUCCCUUAUCUCUCAUUGAAUAAUCUGAACUGCUGAUCUUGGUUAGCAGGUAAAUAUGACUCAGAAGAAACUCCCUUUGUGUGCUUUUUUACCACUGUCUCUUUCUCCAGCUCCCCUCUACCAUCCCUUAUUCUGGCUCUCUUUAUUAUGCCCCUUUUCUUGAACUGUGUAAUAGAACAUAGAACAUAACACAAUGCCCACGAAGAUGUGCUGACCUUUUAACCUACACUAAGAUCAAUGUAACUUUCCUUUUCAACUGACCCCUCCAGUUUUUUGUCAUUCAUGUGCCUUUCUAAGAUUUUCUUAAAUGUCCCUAAUGUGUCUGACUCUCACCUUAAGACAGGAGCAGAAUUAGGCUAUUGGGCCCAUCAAGUCUAUUCCACCAUUCCGUCAUGUCUGAUUUAUUAUCCCUCUCAACCCCAUUCUCCUGCCUUCCCCCUGUAACCUUUGAUUCCCUGACUAAUCAAGAACCUAUCAACCUCUGCUUGAAAUAAACCCAAUGACUUGGCCUCUACAACUGUCUGUGGCAAUGAAGUCCACAAAUUCAUCACCUCCUGGCUAAAGAAGUUCAUCCUCAUCUCUGUUCUAAAUAGGUGUCCCUCUACUCUGAGGUUGUGUCCUCUGAUCCUAGUCUCCCUCAUUAUAGGUGAUAUACUUUCUAUGCCCACUCUAUCGACCAUCUUCAAUAUUUGAUAAGGUUCAAUGAGGUACCCAUCAUUCUUCUAAACUCCAGCAAGUAUGGAUCUGGAGCCAUGGAAUGUGCCUUGUAUGUUAACUUUUCCAUUACCAGAAUCAUUCUUGUGAACCUGACACCAUCCCAUCAGAGUAUUUCAUGCACCCACUACUCUCUUUCCACAGAACUUACCUCUGACCAUCCCCCCCAAUACUUUCUCCCAAUCACCAAAAUUAUGCCCCCUCAUAUUAGCCAUUUCCACCCUGGGAAAAAGUCUCUGACCAUCUACUCUAUCCCUGCCUCUUAUCAACUUGUACACCUCCAUCAAGUCAUCUCUCAUCCUCCGCUCCAAAGAGAAAAGUCUGAGCUCACUCAACCUCUCAUCAUAAGACAUGCUCUCUAAUCCAUGUAGCACCCUUGUAAAUCUGUUCUGCACCCUCUCUAAAGCUUCCGCAUCUUUCUUUUUAUGAGGCAACCGGAUCUGAACAUAAUAUUCUGAGUGUAGUCUAAUCAGGGUUUUAUGGAGCUGCAACAUUACCUCGUGGCUUUUGAACUCAGUUCCCUGAGUAAUGACAGCCAACAUGCAUUCUUAAUGCCGCCUUAACUACUCCAUCAACUUGUGUAGUAACUGCGAGGGAUCUUUGGACAUGAACCCCAGGAUCCCUCUGUUCCUCCACACUGCUAAGAAUCCUGCAAUUAAUCCUGUAUUCUGCUUUCAAAUUCGACCUUCCAAAGUGAAUCACUUCACACUUAUCCAGGAUAAAAAGUGCAUCACUGCAUGGUACGGAAACUGCACUGUGGUGGACAGAAAGGCUCUACAGCAGGUAAUCAAAACGGCUCAACGCAUCAUCAGCUUACCCACCAUCAAGGACUUAUGUGCAGAAAGGUACCAGAAAAAGGCCAAUAACAUCAUGAAGGAUCCCUCCCACCCUGCUUAUGGACUGUUUGUUCCACCCGAUGCACGCCAGAACCACCAGACUGAAAAACAGAUUAGAUUAUGAGGACACUCAGUCCUCGUUUAUUGUCAUUAAGAAAUGAUACAAUGUUCCUCCAGUAUGAUAUCAUAGAAACACAGGGCUAAAGACUAAAACUGACAAAAACCACAUAAUUAUAAUAUAUAGUUACAACAGUGCAAAGCAAUACCAUAAUUUGAUAAAGAGCAGACCAUAGGCACGGUAAAAAAGACAGAUAACAGAUAUUCAUCACCGGAGUGGCCGCUGUGCGCUGCCAUCCUCUCCUCUCCUCUUUAUUUAAUUGGGUUCUCUUUCUCUAGUUUUAGGACUUACAUAAAGAUCUGAUCACAUUUUAGGUCAUAUUUAUACAGAAAUAGAGAAAAUUCUACAGUGUUCACAAACUUUCUAGCACCACUGUAAAUGUAUAUGGUUGAAUGACAAUAAACUGAACUUGAUAUGCUUGGGAGACCAUGCAGUGAAGUUAUGUGGGCACAGUUGAGAAAUAAGGAUGAAGGAUGAAGCGAUCACUUCCAAACACAAAGGUUUCUGUAGAUGGGGAAACACAAAGCCCUCACCAUCACUGACCACACUUACAAACAGCGCUGCCACCAGAAAGCAGCAUCCAUCAUCAAGGGCCCCCACCAUCCAAGCCAUGCUUGUUUCCUGCUACUACCAUUGGGUAGGAGGUACAAGGACCUCAGGACCCACACCACCAGGUUCUGGAACAGUUAUUACCCGUCAACCAUCAGGUUCUUGAACCAGUGUGGAACACUUCACCUUCCACAACUCUGAAAUGAUUCCAUAACUGCAGACUUUUGUGCCCUGGUUGUCCACCCUAUUGGUGCGGAUUUUCAUUUAUUCUAUUAUAGUUAUUGGACUUAUUGUGUAUGCCUGUCAGAAACUGAAUCUCAGGAUUGUAUAUGGUGACAUAUAUAUACUUUGUUACUAAAUUUACUUUGAACUUUGAAUUCUUUAAUCACAGACUCAGUUGACAUGGAGCAAGUCGAAUUGUGAUGGUGUUAGAAAGGUUGUUGUGAGGGGCUGUUUACGGGUUAAGGGACAUUGGCAAGUGGAAGUUGAAAUGGGGAGAGUUCAGGACCAGAGGAUGACAAGAGAUACUGAAGCUCUGGUCAUGAAAGUAGAAGGCAAAUGUCAACUAUAGGCAGUUGGGAUCAAGUGACUCCCUUGGGGAACAGAAGGGAGAAAUUAGGCGGGUGCAAAGAGGACGUGAGACCAUUUUGGCAGAUAAAAAGAUCAGCUUUAUUUGUCACAUGAACAUCGAAACAGUGAAAUGCAUCAAGGAACAACACAACCAAGGAUCAUACUGGAGAGCCCACAAGUGUUGCCGCGCUUCCAGAGCCAAUAUAGCAUGCCAACAACUUACUAAGCCUAAGCCGUAUGUCUCUGUAAUGCGGGAGGAAAUUGGAGCACCUGAAUAUGGUCACACAGAGAAUAUACAAACCCCUUACAGACAGCACUGGGAUCACCAGCACUGUAAAGUUACAUCAACCACUAUUCUACCAAAAUAACUGAAUGUGUUAAGGACCAAGAGUGAGAAACGCCUCCUCAUUAGUCAAGAAGACACAGUGGUAUCUGGACUUCCUGAGAAAAUAGUUGUGCAAGGAAGGCUCCCACCCCCAUUCUAACAACGUUCUACAGGAGCACCAUCCAGACUGUUCUGUCUGGCUGCAUUGUAAAGAAGCUGCACGGCAUCAGACUCUACAGAGGAUGGUAAAAACCACCGAGUGGAUCACUGGGGUCUAUUUCUGCCAUUUAUCAGGAGCAUUGUACUCGAAGGGCCCAAGGCAUUGUUGAAAAUUCCUACCACCCAUCCACAAUCUCUUUGACCCACUACCAUCAGGAAGGAGGUACAGGAGCAUCAGGACUAGGACUAUCAGACUGGGAAACAGCUUCUUCCCUCAGACUGUGAGACUAAUGAAUACCCGGUCACCACUAAGAUCUCAUCAUGAGGACAGUGAGCUGUUUACUGUUUACUUGUGCUGUGCACUACAUGCACUUUCAAUGACAUUUUAUUAACUUAUUUAUGGUAAUAUUUUGUUUUCUUUGCUGUGUGUGAUGUGUUUUAUGGGUGCACCAUAGUCCGGACGAAGGUUGUUUCGUUUCACCUUUAUAUAUGUACAGUCAAAUGACAAUAAACUUGAACUUGAAAUUGAGUUGAAGUGAAGAUGUCACCUGAAAAGCAGUGGAAGCCGAUUCAAUGGGAAUUUCACGGAUGUACAGCCCUGAGGUAAGUGGAGAGAACAGCGGGGUGAGGUUCAGGGAAGAGCAUUUUCACCAAGCCAUCAACUGUUUGAUGGGCUGAAUGGCCUUCUCCUUGACGUCUCAAAGAGUGGAGCAAUGUAUCUGGUGCGCACUCUCUCUCACUGCCUUGUUCCCUCAGCCUUCAUGGGUAAAGCCCCCCCCCCACCCAUCAUUGAGCACAGCAUCCAGGACAUUCUCUCUUCUCAAUGCUGCCAUUAGGAAGAGGUACAGGAGGCUUAGGUCCCACACCACCAGGUUCAGGAACAAUUAUUACCCCUCAACCACCAGGUCCCACACCACCAGGUUCAGGAACAAUUAUUACCCCUCAACCACCAGGUUCAGGAACAAUUAUUACCCCUCAACCAUCAGGUCCCACACCACCAGGUUCAGGAACAAUUAUUACCCCUCAACCACCAGGUUCAGGAACAAUUAUUACCCCUCAGCCACCAGGUUCAGGAACAAUUAUUACCCCUCAACCACCAGGUUCAGGAACAAUUAUUACCCCUCAGCCACCAGGUCCCACGCCACCAGGUUCAGGAACAGUUAUUACCCCUCAGCCACCAGGUCCCACACCACCAGGUUCAGGACAAGUUAUGACCCCUGAACCACCAGGUUCAGGAACAGUUAUUGCCCCUCAACAACCAGGGUCAGGAACAAUUAUUACCCCUCAACCAUCUGGUUCUGGAACCAAAGUGGAUAAUUUCACUCACUUAAUUUGUCCCAUCACUGAACUGCCCCCACAAUCCAUGGACACUCUUUCAAGGACUCUUCAACUCCUAUUCUUGAUACUUAUUUCUUAUUAAUUUAUUAUUAUUAUUUUCUCUUUUGUAUUUGUACAGCAUGUCUUUUACACAUGGGUUGUUUGCUCAUCUUGUGUGUGUUUUUUCAAUAAUUUAAUGGUGUUUCUCUGUAUUUACUGUGAAUGCCUGCAAGAAAAUGAAGCUCAGUGUUGUAUUUGAUAACAUAUCUGUAAUUUGAGCUUUGAACGGUUCCUGGAAGCUGCUGAUAAUGUGGGAGCUUCCGGAAAAAUUAUCAACUAUUGCCUUAAGAGAAGCAGUCAGUUCCUGAUACUUCCUGUGUGGCUUUCUUCUCGAAUUCCCUCAGGGACCAAGGCACAGUAUCAGAAAAAGCUGCAGAAAGUAGUAUACUCAGCCAGCUCCUUCAUGGGCACUAGACUUCCCGGCGUCGAGGACAUCUUCAACAGGCGAUGUCUCAAAAAGGUGUCAUCGAUCAUUAAGGACCCCCAUCACCCAGGACAUGCCCUCUUCUCAUUGCUACCAUCAAGGAGCAGAUACAGGAGACUCAUGACACAUAGUCACAAUUCAGGAACAGCUUCUUCCCUUCUGCCAUCCAUUUUCUGAAUGGUUAAUAAACCCAUGAAUACUACCUCACUAUCUUUUAUUGUUUGUGGUACUUUACAGUUUUCUUUUUAUUACGUAUUGCAAUGAGCUUCUGCGGAUACCGGAAAUCCAGAGCAACACAACAAAAUGCUGGAGGAACUCAGCAGGUCAGGCAGCAUCUAUGGAAAUAAAUAAACAGUCGAUGUUUCAGGCCAAGACCCUUCUUCAGAACUGAAAAGGAAGGGGGGGAGACACCAGAACAAGACGGUGGGGAGAGGGUAAGGAGGACAGGUGAAGCCAGGUGGGUGGGGGAGGGGGGAUGAAGAAAGAAAAACAAGCUGAGGGGUGGUAGGUGGAAAAGGGCUGAAGAUAUUUCACGACAUAUACCAGUGACAUGAGGCCUAACUCUGAUUCUGUUUCUGACACCCACCCAUAAGGGCAGAGAGAAUAGUCAGGCCAUCUCCCUAAGCAGUCACAAGCCAAGGGUAUCUCUAACAGACAGGAAAUUAUUCCCCACAUACUGAGGCCAAGCAUUCUAAAUAUUCACUCACACACUCAUGUCAAAAACAACAACCUCGCGGCAGCUCACCACCUCACAGAACACAGCACAGCAUCAGUUGCAACAUUUAGACCAUAAUUCAUUAGAUGUAGGAGCAGAAUUAAGCCAUUCAGCCCAUCGAGUCUGCUCCACCACUCCAUCAUAUCUGAUUUGUUAUCCCUCUCAAACCUAUUUUCCAAUCUCCUCCCUGUAACCUUUGACACCCAGACUAAUCAAGAACCUAUCAACCUCCACUUUAAAUGCACUCAAUGUCUUGGCCUCCACAGCUGCCUGUGGUAAUGAAUUCCAAAGAUUCACCACAUUCCAGCUAAAGAAAUCCUACUUAUCUCUGUUCUAAAUGGACAUCCUUCUACUCUGAGGCUGUGCCCUCUGGUCCUAGACUCCUCCACUAUAGGAAACAUUCUCUCUACAUCCACUCUAUCUGUGUCCUCUGGUCCUAGACUCCCCCACUAUAGGAAACAUCCUCUCCACAUCCACUCUAUCUAGGCCUUCCAAUAUUCAAUAGGUUUCAGUGCGAUCUCCCCUCAUUCUUCUAAACUCCAGCAAGUACUUGCCCAGAGUCAUUCAACGUUCCUUAUACAUUAACUCAUUCACUCCCAGAAUCAGCAUAUCUUUUCUUAGAUCAGGGGCUCAAAAAUGCUCACAAUACUCUGUGCAGUCUGACCAAUGACCUCUCGAAAUGAAUGCUAACAUUGCAUUUGCCUCCCUUACCACUGACUCAACCUGCAAAUUAAGCUUCAGGGAAAUGGGCUUCCCAAUGUGAGUGGGCCCCAAUACCGUUCAGGUACAAUCAAGUCAGUUCAUGGCAAGAGCGAGAGAUGUCCUUCCCUUCAACAGCCCCUGAGGUAGAAACCCGGAAUCUGAAUCUGCUUUUUUGCGGUAGCAAUAUGGUUCAAGAUGUGGGGUGUGUGGGGUGUAUGGGGGUGUCCAGGGAGGGCUAGCACCACUGGUGAAGGGGCAUGUUGUGUCCAUUCUGGGGCACCUCACCUUUGGGCCCCACUGGACACUCAGUUCUCACCUGUGGCUCCAAGAAGCUGUUUGCAUGUGGGUGGCCAGAGCUUCAACAGGCAGGUUAAACCAGGCGAGGGUAGUCAGUGGGUCUCAUACUCCGGUGAGACAGGGGACAUACCUGACCUAGCAUGCGAAUUCAGCUCCAGUGGACUGGGCAGAUGAAAUCAACAGUGAGAUCCAACGAUCAGGAAGGCGAUUCUGUAACGCUUUGUGAGAGCAAAGGGCAUGGCGAAGCAAAGGGGAAGUCAUGGUCAACCACUGCAACCAAGGAAGACCCCAGUUGUGACAACUACUUGUACCACUGGACCCCGACUUCCAAGGCUGAGAGAAUGAAACUGCCCCACUGUAAUGGUUCUUCCAUUUUAAAAACUCUCCUGCACAGGUUUUCUGUCAUCGUCAGAUACGAUGGACAACCACCAUUAAAAAUUACUAUGAGACUCAAUAAGAAAUAGAGAAAAUAAAUGAAUACAGAAAAAGAGAGCAAAAGUGAAGUAUUGUUCAUGGACCAGUCAGAAACCCAAUGGCAGAGGGGAAGAAGCUGUUCCUAAAACGUUGCUAUUGCUGAUCCACAUGUGAAGAUUAAGAGAUAAUCUCUUAUGUUUACCAAAAUACGGGCUGGAAUCUAAACAAAUUAAACAGACAUCUAUCUGUAUAUGCAAACAAGCUAAAAGUCACUCAAAAGGAAUUUUAGGUUAUCUUAAGGAAACUGCAAAAACAUUGUCAAAUCCCAUUCUUUCUUGCAAAGUAGCUCAAGGGACUGCAGAAAAAGGCAAAAACACCACUCAAGAGACGCAAGCUGUGGGUGGGUCAGAGGUUGGCAGCAUUUCUACCCAGUUAAUCCAGUUGGUGUGCUACAGUAACAUAGCAGUUAGCACCAUGCUACUACAGCUCAGUGUGUUGGAGGUCAGAGUUCAAUUCCAGGGUCCUCUGUAAGGAAGGUUGUACGCUCCUUCUCAUGUGUGCGUGAGGUUCCUCUGGAUGACCCAGUCUCCUCCCGUCAGUAGGUUAACUGGCCAUUGCAAAUUCUCCCGUGAACAGGCUAACGUUAAGAUUCAAGGGAAGUACACAAGUAUAAGAGAACAAAAUAACUGUUACUCUGUAUCUAAUGCAGUGCAAAGAAACCCACAAAAGAUAAAGAACACAAUAAUAAAAAAUACAAGAAAUAUAAAUACAUGAGAUAGCUUAUAUACAUAUGUUUGUAGAUUGAUUGUGUGUCCAUAAAGUGAUGCUAGGCUAUACACAAGGUGACUGACGAGAAAUAAUAAAGUAGUCAUGGAAUUCGUGUGUGGAGGUGUUGAUCAGCAUAACCACUUGUCUUUUGAGUCUGGUGGUCCUGGUGUGGAUGCUGUGACGAGAAUACACAUAGAUUAAUAUGUUAGCUGUCCUGUGCUGGCACCAGUGGGAUCAGCAGUUGGUCUGCCACCUGUCUUCAAGAGAAAGAGAGAUAAGGAAAACAAUGGAGCAGCAUUUGGAGAUGUUAAUGAAGGGACGGGAGAGUUUAAUGGAAGGAGAGCUGUCAAGAUCGGCUCCCCCUUUGAACCCUGAACUGUUUGAAGUGAUGGACAGGCGAUACCCCAGCAGGGGGAUAAAAAGGGACAGGGUCGCUAAGGCAGGACACACACGACACCACGAGGUAACGAGACCCUGGAAGCGGUGCGCCUCCCAUAAGUCGGUGGGAAGUUUUGGAGGGCUGGUCGCGGGACCAAGCCAUAGACGCACAGGGUGGAAAGGCACGAUCGGCGGGAACCUGGUGUGUGUGUCCGCCCUUGCCUGGGUGCCAGGUUCACCGCAGAGAAACGAUCGUAUCUGGAAACGGAGGGGUCACAGUCGGUGACCUCAGAAGACAUCACAAAGGGCUCGCCCGAAAGCUGACUGCGAAGAAUAUCGAAGGUCUGUGUGGAAGCCGUUUGAACAUUCAUUCGUUUUUGCUCUCUCUCUCCUUCCCCCCACUGUCCAUCUCCCACGGCAGUGAUUACUGCGAACUGAACUGAAUUCAAUUGAACUGAACUUUGCGUCACUUUGAAACUAGUCAUUUACCCCUAGACGACGAUAGAACUUGAUUGAUCCUGUUAUCCAAAUUCUGUGUACCUGUGUGUUUAUCAUUGCUGAACUGUUGCAUUUAUUAUCCUUUUGAUUAGAGUACUGUGUUGCUUGUUUCUUUAAUAAAACUUUCUUAGUCCUAGUAAUCCAGACUCCAACUGAGUGAUCCAUUUCUGCUGGUUUGGCAACCCAGUUACGGGGUACGUAACAAUGCUAUGAAGCCUCCUCCCUCAUGGAAGUGGAACAAACCGUCCAUGAGCAGGGUGAGUAGGAUCCUUCAUGAUGUUAUUGUCCCUUUUCCAGCACCUUUCUCUAUAUGGGUCCUUGAUGGUGGGUAGGCUGAUGCUGGUGAUGCAUUGGGCAGUUUCGACUACCUGUUGCAGAGAUGUCCUGCCCGCCGCAGUGCAGUUUCCAAGCCCUGCAGUGAUACAGCUUUUUCAGAUGCUCUCUACUGCGCAUCCAUAGAAUGACGUGAGUAUAGAUGUGCAUAAUCCAGCUCUCUUCAGCCUCUCAGAAAGGACAGGCAUUAGUGAGCUUUCCUGUUUAUGUUGACUCUGUUCUGGGACCAUGAGAGGUUGUGUGAGAUGUGCACUCCCAGGAGUUUGAAACUGCUCAUAUGUCUUUGGUCUUGUUGACAUUGAGCAAGAGAUUAUGACAGCCUUUUCUCUGCAGGCUUUCUCAUCAUUGUUGGUGACAAGCCCCACCACUGUCAUUGGUGAACCUGACAAUGUGAUUGCUUGGGUGAUUGGCCGUUCAGUCAUGCGUGAGCAAAGUGUACAGCAAAGGCUCAGAGCACAGCUCUGGGGGGCACCCAUGUUGAGGAAGAUGAGGAGGAUGGAGUGGUUGUGCAUCCUGACUCUGAGGUCUGUUCCUUUGGAAAUCCAACACACAGUUGCACAGUGAUGUAUUCCGGCUGGGACUGGGCAUUUAAAUUGGGGGGUCACUGGAUGGUAGAGCUUGGAUCACCAGAAGGGCCUGUUCGGCACUGUAUCUAAAACCACUCUAGGGCCAAGUGCUCAAGAUGUACACAGCACGUGCUCUCUGUCCACCAUCCACCAGAAUUUCUCACAGAAAGAAGCACUCUGGAGCAGGAAUAUCCAGAACAGAUCAUCAUUUCUGCAUCAUCACUGGGUUUAACCCCUUACCAAAAUGCCAUCACCAGAAAAACUAUGGAACUUCAGGAAGGUGCCGCAACACCAUCUCUGCAAAUGCAACAUUAGAUGUUCAAUAAACAUUGGCUUUCCUACCGACGAUGAGGCUGCUCUGGACUUAGCAUCCACGAGCUUCAUGCUGAUUUGCCUCUGUGUGACAGAGUGAGACUGAGACUUUGAGCCCACUCCGGCUGCUCCCGGCUUCAGGUUUAUGGACUCAAUUUCCUUCUGAUGCCUGCUUUAUUGCUUGAAUCAUUUGAUCUGAUCUGUUUUUUAUUUGAGUAUUGGUCUUUUUUUAAAAUUGUGUUCUUUCGGGUUUCUUGUUUUGUGGCUGCCUGUAAGCAGAUAAAUCACGAACUUCAAGGUUGUAUAAUUUAAAGAAACUUUGAUAAUAAAAGGCACUUUGACUUUGAAGUACAAAAUAUAGAACUGUGCAGCAGAGGGACAGGAGGGAGACUGACAAUCUGGCUGAGCGGUACUACAACAAAAACCUCUCACUCAAUGUCAGCAAGACCAAGGAGCUGAUUAUUGACCUCAGGAGGAGGAAACUGGAGGUCCACAAGCCAGUCCUCAUCAGGGAAUCAGAGGUGGAGAGGGUCAGCAACUUUAAAUUCCUCGGUGUUAUCAUUUCAGAAAGUCUGUCCUGGGCCCAGCACAAUAGUGCCACACAAAGAAAGCACAGCAGCAUCUCGACUUCCUCAGGAGUUUGCGAAAAUUUGGCACAUCAUCUUAAACUUAAACAAUCUUCUAUAGGUGUGUGGUGGACAGUGUACUGAAUGGUUGCAUCAUUCCAUGGUAUGGAAACACCAAUGCCCUUGAAUGAAAAAGCCUACAAAAGGUACUUGGAUACAGCUCAGUCUAUCAUGGAUAUCAAUAUGGGAAUCAUAUAUAGGCCUCCAAAUAGUAGCCAAAAUGCAGGUUGAGAUUGCAAAGGGAGCUGCAUGGGGCAUGUAAUAAGGGUAAUGACACAAUUGUACUGGGGGACUUCAAUAUGCAAGGGGAUUGGGAAGAUCAGGUUGGUGUCGGAUUGCAAGAGAGAAUUUGUUGAAUGCCUAUGAGAUGGUUUUUUAGAGCAGCUUGUGUUUGAGUCUACUAGGGGAAUAGAGGGAAUUACAGAGGCAUGAGGGAGGAGCUUGCUCAGGUGGAGUGGAGAGGUAUACUGGUGGGGAUGACAGCUGAAAAGAGGCAGCUGAAAUUUCUGGGAAUAGUUCACAAGGCGCAGGAUAGAUAUGUCCCACAAAGGAAGAAGUUCUCAAAUAGCAGGGCGAGACAACCAUGGCUGAAAAGGGAAGUUAAGGGCUGCAUAAAACCAAGGGAAGGGCAUAUAAGGUAGCAAAAGUGAGUGAGAAGUUGGGUGAUUGGGAAGCUUUUAAAAUCCAACAAAAGGCAACUAAAACAGCUAUAAGAAGGGAAAAGAUGAAAUAUGAAGGCAAACUAGCCAAUAAUAUAAAGCAGGAUACUAAAAGUUUUUUCAGUUAUAUAAAGAGAAAAAGGGAGGUGUGAGUUGAUAUUGGACCACUGGAAAAUGAUGUUGGUGAGGAAGUACUAGGGGACGAAGAAAUGGCAGAUGAACUUAUUAAGUACUUUGCUUCGGUCUUUACUUUGGAAGACACUAGCUGUAUGCCAGAGGUCCAUGAGUGUCAGGGAGCAGGAGUGAGUGCCAUUGCUAUUACAAAGGAAAAAAUGCUAGGCAAACUCAAAGGUCUUAAGGUGCAUAAGUCACCUGGACCAGAUGGACUACAUCCCAGAGUCCUGAGACAAGAGAUAACGGAUGCAUUGGUCAAGAUCUUUCAAGAAUCACUUGAUACUGGCAUGGUACUGCAGGACUGGAAAAUUGCAAAUGUCACUCCACUCUUUAAGAAGGGAGGAAGACAAAAGAAACAAAAUUAUAGGCCAGUUAGCAUAAUCUCAGUGGUUGAGAAAGUGCUGGAGUCCACUAUUAAGGACAAGAUUUCAGGUUACUUGGAGAAUAAUGAUAAAAUAAGUCAAAGUCAGGAUGAUUUCUGUAGAGGGAAAUCUUGCCUGACAAAUCUGUUGGAAUUCUUCAAAGAAGGAACAAGCAGGGCAGAUAAAGGAGAGGCAGUGGAUGUUAUUUACUUAGAUCAGGGGUGUCAAACUACCGGCCCGUGAAGGGGCCACAGGAUAAUUUAGGGAAAAAAAGUAUAUUCACGACCAUUUAUUAUGUAUCUCUACAGCAGCCGCUCUCUCUCCCACCGCCGUCUGUGCUGGCAGCUUGUUGUGUGUACUUAGAAAACAAUAGGUGGCAGUUAACCACCCGCUGUGCAUAAGCACCUACCACCCUGUACUGAAGACAACUGGGGCCCCACUUACGUCGUCAGACACAGUACAAACACACAGAGUACUCAGAUAAGUAACACCUGUAGCAAGGCUGAGAUUGUUUGCUGCUGUGGUUCAAAAUGCUUUCCAAGAAAAGAAAAGUUGACAUCGAAGGUCGGAUAUUCAACGAUAAUUGGAAAGAUCGUUUUUUUCUUCUUUGAGGUCAACAGCAAACCUGUGUGUCUGAUAUGCUCACAACAAGUGGCUAUGGCAAAAGAGUACAAUAUCAAACGACACUAUGAGACGUCACACAGAGAAAAAUAUGACAAGUACGCAGGACGACUCAGAACGCAAAAGGUAAACAAGCUUGAAGCAGCUCUGAAAACACAGCAAUCAGUGUUCACCAAAAUUCGAGAGUCUCAUGAUGGAGCUGUCAAGGCCAGCUAUAUUAUUGCCAACAAAAUAGCUGCUGCGUCAAAGCCAUACUCAGUGGGGCAAUUCAUCAAAGCAUGCAUGCUGACGGCAGCUGAGCUGGUGUGCCCUGAGAAGAGACAGGCUUUUGGUAAUAUCAGCUUGUCAAGAAAUACUGUGGCAGAGAGAAUCGGGACCUUGCAAGAGAUUUGAACAGUCAACUAAAAGACAAAGUGGAGUCCUGACGAAGGGUCUCGGCCUGAAACGUCGACUGCAUCUCUUCCUACAGAUGCUGCCUGGCCUGCUGCGUUCACCAGCAACUUUGAUGUGUGUUAAGUGAAGUCAUUUAUUGCCUUCUCUAUUGCAACUGUGAGAGCACCGACGUGACUGAUGUAGCUCAAUUGGGAAUAUUUAUUCGUGGUGUUGAUGCAUCUUUGACAGUCACCGAGGAGUUUGUGGAGAUGGUGCCCAUGACAAACACCACAACGGCGAACGACGUUUUCUCCUGCCUCAUCGAGACCUUGGACAGACUGGGGGUUGACUGGAGUCACGCUGUCAGCGUGGCAACAGAUGGCGCACCAUCCAUGGUCGGGGAAAAGGCAGGUGUUCUUGUGAAACUCAGAGAGAAAGUUCAAACAGAGAAUCCAGAGCAGGAAUUCUGGAAUUUUCAUUGUAUUAUACACCAAGAGGCAUUAUGUAGCAGGAGCCUGAAAAUGGACAAUGUCAUGGAUGUAGUAAUCAAAACAGUUAAUUUUAUUAGAGCCAAGGGACUCAACCAUCAGCAAUUGACAUUCUUUUGUCCGAAAGUAAUAUUGGACAUGGCCUACCCUACCACACUGAAGUCCGCUGGUUGAGCAGAGGGGUUGUGCUCAAACGUUUUUUUUCAAUUACGUGUGGAAAUUGGACUAUUCAUGAACGAGAAAGGGAAGCCAGUGGCAGAGUUGGAUGACCCAGACUGGCUUCAUGAUGUUACAUUUUUGGUGGAUAUAACAGAGCACUUAAAUGUGCUUAAUGUUAACAUGCAAGGCCGCAACAAACUUGUUACGGCAGACUACGACAGCAUUCGUGCCUUUCAAAUUAAAUUAGGCCUGUGGGAGAUGCAACUAUCCCGGAGCAACCCAGCUCAUUUCCCCUCUCUGCAGUCUGUGCCUGUCGCUCGUGGGAAUAAUGACAACAUGGACAGGUACAAGGACAAAUAUCAUGGCUGAAAAGUGAGUUUCAGAAUUGUUUCCAAGUCUUCACUCAGCUCGAGAAGAAAUUCUCACUAUUUUUCUUACCGUUUGCUGUCAAUGCAACAUCAGAUGUGCCAGAGGAACUCCAAAUGGAACUAAUCGAAAUUCAGUGUAACUCAGCUUUGAAAUAUAAAUUUGAGACUGUGGGUCUGGACUCAUUCUAUCAAUACCUGGGACCAAUGUACCCCAAGAUGACAGACUUUGCCUCGGAGAUCCUUUGCAUGUUCGGGACAACGUAUCUCUGUAAGCAGACAUUCUCUAUAAUGAACAUUAACAAAUCCAAACUGCACUCGCAGCUGACAUACAGACACCUAAAUGACAUUAUGAAAAUCACAACUGCCCAGAAACUGGUCCCUAAUGUUGACAGGCUGGUUAAAGCCGAGAGAUGUCGGGUGUCUGGAAGCAGCAAGUGAAAAAUGAGUGACACUGUUUGAUGCAUUGCAACAUGUAAGCAAAAUGCAUUAUGAAAUAUUGAGUGUCAUAAUAUUGUGAUUCAUUCAUUUUCUGACUAUUCUUUUAUUGUAAAUGUGAUCACUUCAAUAAAAAUUAGAGGCUAACUGUGUUUAUUGUCUGAGUUUGAUUGCUGAAAGCAGGCUAAUAAAAAUUAGGUGCAGUUGUGUAGCCUACAUUUACAAUUUGUUUCGUUAGUUCUACAUUUGUGUCUGCUAAUGUUCGAUUUCAAAUGGUUUAUUAAUGGAAAAGAUGUGGCUCCCAAAACAACCUUAGCCAAAAUAGCAUUGUUUUUUCUCUCUCUCAUCACAACUUUCUUGUAGCCUACGACUGCAAGUUAAUACCAAUCAUAAAAAUAAUGCUUGCUAGGCAAUCUUCUUCAUAAGAAACAAAAUUUUAGUAGAAAGUAUAAUAAUAGUAUAAAAAUAUAAAUAGUAUAAAAGUAUUAAAAAAAAUAGUAGAAAGCAUUCUUCUAGGGUGCAUCACAACCUGGUAUGGAAGUUGUCCUGUCCAAGACCAAAAGAAGCUGCAGAAGAUCGUGAACACGGCGCAGCACAUCACACAAACUAAUCUUCCAUCCUUGGACUCACUUUACACCGCAUGCUGUCGGAGCAGUGCUGCCAGGAUAAUCAAGGACACGACCCACCCAGCCAACACACUUUUCGUCCCUCUUCCCUCCGGGAGAAGGCUCAGGAGCUUGAAGACUUGUACAGCCAGAUUUGGGAACAGCUUCUUUCCAACUGUGAUAAGACUGCUGAACGGAUGCUGACCCGGAUGUGGGCCAUACCCUCCAAAUAUCCGGACCUGCCUCUCAGUUUUUUUUGCACUACCUUACUUUCCAUUUUUCUAUUUUCUAUUUAUAAUUUAUAACUUAAAUGUUUAAUAUUUACUAAUCUUUACUAUUUUUAAUAUCUAAUAUUUGUAAUCCAGGGAGUGGGAAGCGCAGAAUCAAAUAUCGCUGUGAUGAUUGUACAUUCUAGUAUCAAUUGUUUGGCGACAAUAAAGUAUUAAGUAUAUAAAGCAUAAAGUAUAAAUUUGUAAAGUGAAACACUUUGUAGUUAUAGCAGAGACUGAGACACAGGAGAGCAGGUUGAAAAAUCGAAGGCAACAAAAGCUGUGGGAGCACACAUGCGUGCACAACUGAUCCAGCCUGCAUGAAGUUGCAUUUUGCCCAAUCCAGCCCGAGACCUAAAAUGAUUUUGACACCCCUGACUUAGAUUUUCAGAAGGCAGGUACCUGACAUGAGGCUCCUUAACAAGAUAAAAUCCUAUGGAUUUACAGGAAAGAUACUGGCAUAGAUAGAGCAAUAGCUGACAGGCAGGAGGCAGAGAGUGGGAAUAAAAGAGGCCUUUUCUGGUUGGCUGCCAGUGACUAGUGGUGUUCCUCAGGAGUCAAUAUUGGGACCACUACUUUUCACAUUGUUUGUCAAUGACUUAGAAUUGAUGACUUUGUGGCAAAGUUUGAAGAUGAUACAAAGAUAGUGGUAGGUAGUGCUGAGGAAGCAAUGCGAUUACAACAGAGCUUAGACAUAUUGGAAGAAUGAGCAAAAAAGUGGCAGACAUAAUACAAUGCUGGGAAAUAUACCAUAAUGCAUCUUGGUAAAAGGAACAAUAGUGCAGACUGUUAUCUAAAUGGGGAGAAGGUUCAAACAUCAGAGGUGCAAAGAGUCUUAGGAAUCCUCGUGCAAGACUCCAAGAAGGUUAAUUCACAGGUUGAGUCAGUGGUAAAGAAGGCAAAUGCAAUGUUGUCAUUUAUUUCAAGGGGAAUAGAAUAUAGAAAACAUAGAAAAUAGGUGCAGGAGUAGGCCAUUCGGCCCUUCGAGCCUGCACCGCCAUUUAUUAUGAUCAUGGCUGAUCAUCCAACUCAGAACCCUGCACCAGCCUUCCCUCCAUACCCUCUGAUCCCCCUAGCCACAAGGGCCAUAUCUAACUCCCUCUUAAAUAUAGCCAAUGAUCUGGCCUCAACUGUUUCCUGUGGCAGAGAAUCCCACAGAUUCACCAGUCUCUGUGUGAAAAAGUUUUUCCUAAUCGCGGUCCUAAAAGGCUUCGCCUUAAUCCUCGAACUGUGACCCCUCGUUCUGGACUUCCCCAGCAUCGGGAACAAUCUUCCUGCAUCUAGCCUGUCCAAUCCCUUUAGGAUUUUAUACGUUUCAAUCAGAUCCCCCCUCAAUCUUCUAAAUUCCAACGAGUACAAGCCUAGUUCAUCCAGUCUUUCUUCAUAUGAAAGUCCUGCCAUCCCAGGAAUCAAUCUGGUGAACCUUCUUUGUACUCCAUCUAUGGCAAGGAUGUCUUUCCUCAGAUUAGGGGACCAAAACUUCACACAAUACUCCAGGUGUGGUCUCACCAAGGCCUUGUACAACUGCAGUAGUACCUCCCUGCUCCUGUACUCGAAUCCUCUUGCUAUAAAUGCCAGCAUACCAUUCGCCUUUUUCACUUCUUCAUAUAAAAACAAGGAGAUAAUGCUGAGCCUUUAUAAGACACUAGUCAGGCUGCACUUGAAGUACUGUCAACUGUUUUGGGCCUCUUAUCUCAGAAAGGAUGUAUUGUCUUUGGAAAGAAUCCAGAGGAGAUUCAUGAGGAUAAUUCUGGGAAAGAAGGCAGCUUUGGGCCUGUACUCAUUGGAAUUUAGAAGAAUGGGGAUGGUUCUUAUUGAAACCUACUGAAUGUUGAAAGGACUAGAUGAGGAGGAUGUGGAGAGGAUGUUUCUUCUGGUGAAAGUAUCCAGAACUAGAAGACACAGCCACAAAACUGAGGGGCAAUUUUUCAGAACAGAAGUAAGGAUGAAUUUUUUUAGUCAAAGAGUCAUGAAUCUGUGGAAUGCUCUGCCAAAGACUGUGGUUGAGGCCAAGUCCGUGGAUAUAUUUAAAGCUGAAGGUGAUAGAUUUCUGACUGGUUGGGGCAUCAAGGGAUAUGGUGAGAGGGACAGGUGUAUGGGGUUGAAUGGGAUCCGGGAUCAGCCAUGAGGAAGUGGUGGAAUGGACACAAUGGGCUGAGUGGCCUAAUUCUGAUCCUAUGUCUUAUGGGUAAAGCCCUCCUACCACUGAGAACAACAACAUGGAGUGCUGUUACAAGAAAGCAGCAUCCGUCAUCAGGGACAUGCCAUCCAGGCUCUCUUCUCGCUGCUGCCAUCAGAAAGGUGGUAUAGGAAUGUCAGGACCCACACCACCAGGUUCAGGAACAGUUAUUACCCCUCAACCAUCAGCUUUUGAACCAUAGGGGAUAACUUCGCUCACCAGAUCACCGAACUGUUCCCACAACUACAGACACACUUUCAAGGACUCUUCAUCUCAUGUUCUCCAUAUUUACUGCUUUUUUGUUGUUUCUUUGUACUUACUGUGAAUGCCCACAAGAAAAUGAUUUUCAAGGUUGUUUCUUGUGAUAUAUAUGUACUUUGAUAGUAAAUUUACUGUGAACUUUGUUUAAAAUUUUUCUGAUUUCUACCACUGUCAAAAGUAAACAGUUUGUUUACAUAUUUUCACAUAUUUACGUUAAUUGAUGGAGGAUCACUGUAUCAUGGAACCAUUUCCUGGUGGGCCUCUCUGGCCCACUGCCACCUAUUCUAUCAAGCAUACCAAAUUAAACAAUUCUUAAAAAUGCAAACAGAAAUGAGAUCAUCAAAUACUGGCGAGCACCAUAAUCACGAAGUUCCCAUUCAGGGACAAAAAUGGAAAUUUUGAAGUCAGGAAUGAUUGAAUAACAGAGAACAAGAUUGGAAGGAAGUUUCUCAGAAGAGUUCGUGGAAUGUGGAAUGUUCCCAUAAGUGGUCAUCGAAAAGACGAGACGCUGCAAUGUGGAAUGUGCUCCUGGAAAGACAGAGGAAGCACAGAUUCAGUGGAACUUUGACAGAAUCGUUGGGCACAGACCCAGGGCCAUUCAGCAGCUCCAUGUGUACUGCUUGUCUCAAAUAUUGCUAGAAUUAAACCCACACUGCAAUGUUUUCACCAUAUCCCCACUAAUCAGUCUUCACAUUUAUGAACAACUGCCCACUAAAAGUUCCUGUAAAACCUGACUCAAUGUCCUUUUAUGUCGAUCGUUCCAGACAUAGAACAUAGAACAGUUCCUUCAGGCCAUAAUGUUGUGCCAAACCAAUUAAGUUAGUAAUCAAAUAGCCAACUAAACUGAUCUCUUCUGCCUACAUGAUGUCCCUAUUCUUCCAUUUUUCUGACGUUAAUGAGCCUAUCUAAACAUGUUUAAAAGUCUCUAAUGUAUCUGCCUCUACCACCACCCCAGAUACCCACCACUCUCCGUGUAGAAAACUUGCCCUUCACAUCUCCUUUGAAAUUAGCUCCUCUCACCGUAAGUGUUUCAACCCUGGGAAAAAGAUAUUGUCUGUCUAUCUUUUUAGGCCAAACAAUGAUUGAGGGUCAACCAUGGACGUUGAAUCACAGCUGUCUACAUGAUACACAAGCAAUACUCCAGAUGCAGCCGAACUAGAGUUUUAUAAAGCUGCUACUUAACUUCCUCACUUUUCAAUUCAAUGCUGUGAUUGAGAAAGGCAAGCAUGCCAUAUGCAUUCUGAGUCCCACAGUACAGUGGUUCUGAUUGUGGACUUCAGGAUAGGGAACACACACCAGUCCCCGUCCAGGGAUUAGCAGUGGAAAGGGUAAGCAGUUUCAAGUACCUGGGCAUCAACAUCUCUACGGAUUUACCUUGGGCUCAACAUUUUGAUGCAAUUAGAAAGAAGGUAUGACAGCAGUUAUAUUUCUUUAGGAGUUUGAAGAGACUGAGUUUGUCACCAAGGGCUCUUGCAAAUUUCUAUGGAUGUACCGUGGAGAACAAUCUAACUGGUUGCGUCACCAUCUGGUAUGGAACACCCACUGCACUUGAUUGAAAAAAGUUACAGGAAGUUGUAAACUCAGCCAACUCUGUCAUGAGCACAAGCCGCCCCAGCAAACAGGACACCUUCAAAAGGUGAUGCCUCAAAAAGGCAGCAUCCGUCAUUAAAGAGCUCAUCACCCAGGACAUGCCCCUUUUUUAUUACUAACAAUGAGGAAGUGGUACAGGAGCUUGAAGACACACACUCAACAUUUCAGGAAUAGCUUCUUCCCCUCUGACAUCAGACUUCAGAGUAGACACUAAACUCCUGAACACUUCCUCAGUCUAUUUCCCCCUCUCCUUCUGCACUACUUACUUAAUUCUUCUUUUUUUAUACAUACUUCUUAUUGCAAUUUAUAAUUGCUAUUAUUAUGUCUGCAACAUACUGCCGCCACAAAACAACAAAUUACAUGACAUAGUAACAAAAUGCUGGAGGAACUCAGCAGGCCAGGCAGCAACUAUGGAAAAGAGUACAGUCGACGUUUCAGGCCGAGACCCUUUAGCAGGACUGGAGAAGAAAAAGAUGAGGAGUCAGAGUUAGAAGAUGAGGGGAGGGGAGAGAGAAUCACAAGGUGAUAGGUGAAACCGGGAAGGGGGAAGAGAGGUGAAGUAAAAAGCUGGGAAGUCAAUUGGUGAAAGAGGGACAGGGCUGGAGAAGGGGAAUGUGAUAGGAAAGGGCAGAGGCCAUGGAAGAAAGCAAAGGGGGAGGGGCACCAGAGGGACUAGAUGGGCAGGUAAGGUGAUAAGGUGAGAGAGGGAUAUGGGAAUGGGGAAUAGUAAAGGAGAGGGUGGGGUGGUUUUGGAUAUUAAAUGUCCUUAAUAUCUCUAUUUUUCCCUUUCAUGGUUCUUUUGAAGACCCUGACCUGUAGUUACACGCUGGAGUUCGUUGCGGGAAUGGGACCCGCUCUCUGAAUUUCAUUACUGCCCGUUGUUCGGCACACCAAGGGCUCAGCCUCGGAGUUCAACUUGCCUUUGGAGGCCUAGGGUCCCGGGGCUCUGGAGGCGGGCGGAUUGAAGGUCAGUGUCACAGCAGGAGAUCCAUCCGUGUGUUGUCAGGGGAGUCGGAAGAUCUAUGGCUGUGUGCCCAGAGACUCAAGGUCUUUGAGCAUAGAGCUUGAGAAAAGCAGUGUAACGGACUUUUAACAUCGUAAACCAGUGAGUUGUUUGUUAUGUCUCGAUCUUGCUUGAGUGCUCGGUGGUGGGUGCCGAUGAUUUUUUUUUGCCACUGGAGGGAAGGGGGAUCAUUGCCUGCUGCUGCUUACGUGCGGGAGGGAGGGGAGCUAGGCGGGACUUCGGGGUUCUAACAUUUAACUGUCGUUCAUUUUUUGGGACACUCCUCUGUUUUCAUGGAUGGUUGUGAAGAAAACAUUUCAGGAUGUAUAUUGGCGGGACUGUCAUAUGUUGAAAGAUUGGAGUGACUGGGCUUGUAUACUCUGGAAUUUAGAAGGCUGAGAGGGGAUCUGAUUGAAACAUAUAAGAUUACUAAGGGAUUGGACACUCUGAAGGCAGGAAGCAUGUUCCCGCUGAUGGGUGAGUCCAGAACCAGAGGCCACAGUUUAAGAAUAAGGGGUAGGCCAUUUAGAACAAAGUUGAGGAAAAAGUUUUUCACCCAGAGAGUAGUGGAUAUAUGGAAUGCUCUGCCCCAGAAGGCAGUCGAGGCCAAGUCUCUGGAUGCUUUCAAGAAAGGGAUGGGUAGAGCUCUUAAAGGUAGUGGAGUCAAGGGAUAUGGGGAGAAGGCAGGAACGGGGUACUGAUUGUGGAUGAUCAGCCAUGAUCACAGUGAAUGGCGGUGCUGGCUCAAAGGGCCAAAUGGCCUACUCCUGCACCAGCUGGCCAAUCGAGUCUGCUCCACCAUUCAAUCACGGCUGAUCCUUUUUUCUCCUCCUCAGCCCCACUCCCCGACCUUCUCUCCGUAAUCUUUGAUGCAGUGGCCAAUCAAGAUCAGUUGGAACCAUAGUCAUAGAGAAGUACAGCACAGAAACAGGCCCUUUGGUCCAACUAUUCCAUGCCAAAACUAUUUAAACUGCCUUCUCCCAUCAACCUGCACCGGGACCAUACCGCUCCGUACCCUUACGAUCCAUGUACAUACCCAAACUUCUCUUAAACGUUGAAAUUGAGCUUGCAUGCACCACUCAUGCUGAAAGCUCAUUCCACACUCUCACCACUCUCUGAGUGAAGAAGUCUCUCCUCAUCCUCAUGUUUCCCCUAAACCUUUCACCUUUCAUCCUUAACCCAUGACCUCUGAAUGUAGUCCACUCAACCUCAGUGGAAAAGACCUGCUUGCAUUUACACAAUCUAUACCCCUCAAAAUUUUGUAUACCUCUAUUAAAUCUCCUCUCAAACUUCUACAUUCAAAAGAAUACAGUCCUAACCUAUUCAACCUUUCAUAACCAGGCAAUGCCCUUGUAGAUUUUUUCUGUACUCUUUCAACAUUGUUUAUAUCCUCCUGUAGGUCAGUGACCAAAACUGCACACAAUACUCCAAAUUAGAUUUUACAAUUUCAACAUAACAUCCCAUCUCCUGUACUCAAUACAUAGUUUUACGAAGAUUAAUGUGCCAAAACAUUUCUUGGCCACCGUAUCUAUCUCCCUUUCUCUUCACCAUUUACACCUCAGACUUCAACUACUGCACAGUUGAAGUCAUCUUCUGUCAUCUUCAGAAGUUUUCGGAUGACUCUGCUAUAGUUGGAUGCAUCAACAAGGGAGAUGAGGCUGAGUACAGGGCUACGGUAGGAAACUUUGUCACAUGGUGUGAGCAGAAUUAUCUGCAGCUUAAUGUGAAAAAGACUAAGGAGAUGGUGGUAGACCUGAGGAGAGCUAAGGUACCGGUGACCCCUGUUUCCAUCUAGGGGAUCAGUGUGGACAUGGUGGAAGAUUACAAAUACCUGGGGAUACGAAUUGACAAUAAACUGGACUGGUCAAAGAACACUGAGGCUGUCUACAAGAAGGGUCAGAGCCGUCUCUAUUUCUUGAGAAGACUAAGGUCCUUUGACAUCUGCCAGACGAUGCUGAGGAUGUUCUACGAGUCUGUGGUGGCCAGUGCUAUCAUGUUUGCUGUUGUGUGCUGGGGCAGCAGGCUGAGGGUAGCAGACACCAACAGAAUCAACAAACUCAUUCGUAAGGCCAGUGAUGUUGUGGGGAUGGAACUGGACUCUCUCACGGUGGUGUCUGAAAAGAGGAUGCUGUCUAAGUUGCAUGCCAUCUUGAACAAUGUCUCCCAUCCACUACAUAAUGUACUGGGUAGGCACAGGAGUACAUUCAGCCAGAGACUCAUUCCACCGAGAUGCAACACAGAGAGUCAUAGGAAGUCAUUCCUGCCUGUGGCCAUCAAACUUUACAACUCCUCCCUUGGAGAGUCAGACACCCUGAGCCAAUAGGCUGGUCCUGGACUUAUUUCCUGGCAUAAUUUACAUAUUACUAUUUAACUAUUUAUGGUUUUAUACUAUUUAUUAUUUAUGGUGCAACUGUAACAAAAAUCAAUUUCCCCCGGGAUCAAUAAAGUAUGACUAUAACUAUGAUUAUGACUAAUGUCACUUCCAAAGAAUUAUGGACCUGUAUUCCCAGAUCCCUUUGUUCUUCCACACUCCUCAGUGCCCUACCAUUCACUGUAUAAGACCUACAGUACCCUGAUUAAUCCUACCAAAGUGGAACACCUCGCACUUGUCUACAUUAAAUUCUAUCUGCCAUUUUUCAGCCAAUUUUUCCAGCUGGUCCAAAUCCCCUGCAAGGCAUGAUAGCCUUCCUCACUUAUCGUUACAGCCACAAAUUUGCUGAUGCAGUUAGUCACAUUAUCAUCCAGAUCAUUGAUAUAGAUGGCAUACAACAAAGGACCUAGAACCGAUAUUUGCGGCAUUCCACUAGUCAGAGGCUCCCAAUCAGAGAGGCAACCAUCUACUACCACUCUGGCUUCUCCCACCAAGCCAAUGUCUAAUCCAGUUUACUACCUUACCUUGAAUGCCAAGUAACUGAAUCUUCUUGACCAACCUCCUAUAUGGGAGCUUGUCAAACACCUUGCAAAAGUCUAUGUAGGCAACAUCCACUGCCUUGCCUUCAUUCACCUCUCUGGUAAUUUCCUCAGAAAAACUCUAUAAGAUUGGUUAGACAUGACCUACCCAAUCCACAGUUGCCAGAUCAUUUCUGAUACCAUCAAAACCGUCCAUUCUCCAAUUUAGAAAUCUCAACCCACAGACCAGACCUAUCUUUUUGCAUAAUUACUUUGAAAUUAAUGAGAUUGUGAUCACUAGAUGCAAAGUGUCGCCCUACUCAAACUUCUGUCACCUGCUCUGCCUCAUUCCCUACUAGCAGUAUCGUAUGUGCUCUCAUUGGGACUUCUACAAACUGAUGAAAGAAACUUUCCUGAACACGUUUGACAAACUCUAUCCCAUCUAGUCCUUCCACAGAAUGGUAUUCCCAGUCAAUAGGUGGAAAAUUAAAAUCACCUAGUACAACAACCUUAUGUUUCCUGCAACAGGCAGCAAUGUCUUGUAAAGGUUUGCUUAUCUUUUCUGUUUCUAUAUUCACCGCCCCUAUUUACACAGAUAAAUAUAACACACAUUAUCUCAACAACCUUGCCAACUUGCCCUGCCCUCUUCAAAUAUUCCUCACUAACGCACUCAGGCGCAUAAAACAGAACUAUCUGAAUUGCACUACCUCUUCAUGCCUGCAUUAAACAGACAGUGCCUCCAGUUACUCCUGUCCCCUUGAAUCCUCCUAGCUUCAAACACACUAUUUAGUGUCCUGACAAGUUUUGUGUCAAUUACACACAAUUAAAUAGUACUCUCUGUACCCAAUAAAUGGCAGUAAAUGCUGGCAUCGCCAUAUUAUCCUGUCGAUCAAUAAACAGAAAUUCGGUGGCUUUUGCAACACACACAAAAUGCAGGAGGAACUCAGCAUCUGCGAAAAUGAAUAACGGUCGACGUUUCAAGCCGAGACCCUUCAUCAGGAUUGGAAAGGGUCAUCAGAACUACACACUACAUUCCAAAUGCAGGCUCACCAAGGCCCUGAUGAUGAAGGGUUCUUUUGAAGACCCUGACCCAGAGUUACACGCUGACUUCAGUUCUUUGCGGGAAUGGGACCCAUUCUCAGGGGUUUCACAACUGGCCUUUGUUCGGCAAGCCAAGACUUUGGCUGAGAAACGGGCUCGAAUUUGGAAGACUAAGAUCUCGUGGCUCUGAAGACGGGUGGAUUGAGGGUCGGUGUCAUGGCAGGACACCUCUGUGUCAUCGGGGGAGUCAGGAUAUCCGCUGUGGGCCCGAAGACUCAGGCUCUUUGUGAUCUUUGGGCACAGAGCUUGAAAAAAGGGACAUAAUGGACUUUUUAAAAUCAUAAACCAGCGAUCUAUUUGUUAUGUUUCCCCGCUCGCUGGAAAAAUGGAGAUACCUCCUUCUCCCUUAUUAGGGAGAGAGGGAAUCUGCGGUAUGUCGAAUACCAGAUGAAAUGUGAAGUCUUUGGGGGUAACUGCAAGUCUGUGUCUUUGCUCGUGGUGAGUGCUCGGUGGUGGGACCAAUGCUUGCUUUUUUUUGACGGUGGUGGGGGAGGGGGUAGGGGGGAUUGUUGCUUACUGCUGUUUACGCAUGGGAGGGAGGGGAGCUGAGGGGGACUUUGGAGCUCUUACAUUUAUCUGUCGUUCAUUCUUUGGGGCACUUGCUGUUUUCGUGGAUGUUUGUGAAGAAAAAGUAUUUCAGGAUGCAUAUUGUAUACAUUUCUCUAACAUUAAAUUGGACGUUUGAUAAUCAGAGCGUCGGGGAGAAGGCUGGAGAAUGGGGUUGAGAGCGAUAAUAAAUCAGCCCUUGUGGAAUGGUAGAGCAGACUUGAUGGGCUGAAUGGCCUAACUCUACUCCUAAAUUUCUAGGUCUUAGGGACAAUGAACCCAUGAACAACACUAUCUCUGUAUUUUUGUUCUCUAUUUGCACUAGUUACUUAAUUUUUUAUGUACUGUAUAUAUUUCUUACUACAAUUUAUAGUUAUUUAUUAUGAAUUGCAAUAUACUGCUGCUGCAAAACACUCAACUUUAUGACAUACUCCACCAAUGCUAAACCUGAUUCUAAUUGUGAACGCUGCUGCUAACAAGCUCCAAACCCAGACUCAAUCCUAAUGUGGAGUUUGCACAUUCUGUUACCAUGGUACUUUCCUCUGAAAACUCUAGGUUUGCUCCGCAUCUUAGAGUGAUAAUGGAGUUGUCUGCUGUGAACCCUCCCCUCUAAAGGAAGGGGCUGGGGGUGGUGUGGCAGGUGAUGGGCAUAUGAAAAUAAACAGGGAAAGAAGUUGCGGGGGGGGGGGUUGUGACUGAUAGGAGUGCAGCAAAGACUUGAUAGGGCAAACAGCCUAUGGGAGAAGAGAACCAGAGAGUACAGCUCAGGGCAGUUUGGAGUUCAAUUCCCAUUGCUGCUUGUAAAGGAGUUUGUACAUUCUCUCCAAGAACUGCAUGGCUUUCCUGCCGGUGUCCCAGUUUCUUCCCACAGUCCAAAGACAUACCAGUUAGUAGGUUCAUUGUUUGUUGUAAUUUAUCCUGUGUUUAGGCUGGGGUUAAAUCAUGGGGUUGCUGGGCAGUACAACUUGUCUUUUCAAGAUUCAAGUAUAUUUAUUAUCAAAGAAUGUACAAAUUACACAACCUUGAGUUUUGCUUGCUCACAGGUAGCCGCAAAGCAAGAAACCUGAAAGAACCCACUUAAAGAAAAAGAAGAAUAAGAAAUAAAAAUGAGAGACCAACUCUCGAUGCACAAGAAAAAAAAACUUGCAAACAAUUGAAGCAAACAGCAGCAGCAUUUCGAACCAAAAUACUGUUUACUGUUUAUGCUGCACACUACACCUUGAAUUAUAAUUCAUAUUUUAUUAACUUGUGUGUGUUAAUAAUUUUGUUUUAUGUGCUGUGUUUAGUGGGUGCACCGUUGUUUGGUUUGGUUGUAUAUAUGUACAGUCAGAUGACAAUAAACUGGAACUUGAUGGGCCUGUCCUGCCCUGUCUCUAAUAGGCAGACAGAUAAGUAAACGGAUAAAUAAGAGGCUUGCCCAAUGGAGUUCAGAACAAGGAGUGAUCUUAUUGCAACAUAUACUGUAGAUUCUGAAGGUCUUCAUGUGGAUAUUUAGAACUGGCAGACAGUUUCAGUAUUUGAGCUCAAGACUAGUGAAGACAAAAUAUUUCUACUGGAAGCACAUGCAAAUGGUGGGAAUUCUCAGCCCAAGAGAGCAACGUUGCUGAAUAUAUUCUAGUUGGAGAAUGACAGACACUUGAACUAAGAAUUCAAGAAAACAGGAGCAGGAGACCCUCAAUCAUACCUCAGCAUUUUAUUUUUUUAUUUAGAGAUACAGUGUGGAACAGAUCCUUCAAGCCUCACCAUCCAGCAACCCCUGAUUUAACAGGACAAUUUACAAUCACCAAUUAACCAACAGGGUCUGUAGAGAUUCAGCGUAUCAUCAAAAACCUUGGCAAACUUCUAUAGGUGUGUGGUGGAAAGCAUGCUGACUGGCUGCAUUACAGCUAGUAUGGGAACAAAAUGCCUUUGAGUGGAAAAUCCUACAAAAGGUAAUGGAUUCGGCUCAGUACAGCACAGGUAAAGUCCUUCCAACCAUUGAGCACAUCAAAAUGAAACGUUGCCAUAGAAAAGCAGCAUCUAUCAUCAAAGAUCCUCACCACCCAAGUGAUGCUCUUUUCUCACUGCUGCCAUCAGGUAGAAGAUACAGGAACCUCAGGACUCACACCACCAGGUUCAGGAACAGUUACUACCCCUCAACCAUCAAGUUCUUGAACAAAGGGGGAUAACUACAUUCAUCUAUUUCUAGUCUUCCUACAACCAACGGUCUCACUUUGAGGACUCUUCAACUUGUUAUUUCAUGUUAUCAUUGUUUAUUGCUAGUCAUUUAUAUGUGCAUUUGAAUAGUCUGCUGUUCAUUUAUCCUGUUUACAGUUACUGUUCAAUUAAUUUGCUAAGAGAACCUGCAGGGAAAAAAGAACCUCAGGGCUGUAUGUGGUGACAUACAUACACUGAUAAUCAGUUUUACUUUGAACCUUGAACUAUGGGAGGAAGCUGGAGCACCAGGAGUAAACCCAUGCAUUCCAUGAAGAGGACAUACAAACUCCUUAAAAAGGUUGUUGGAACUGAACUCCAAACUCCGACGGCCCAGUGUUUCGCUACGGUGGCACCCCAUAUAUAUCAAGCGUUAUCUAUACUGACCUCAACCCUCCAUCUGCACCAAUUCUCCAUCAUCUUCAGAAAUAUUUAUAUAUCUCCAUCUCCUAGACUUCCCAUCACCAUCUACCCCAGAUUCACAGUUGUCUGUGGGAAGAGCCUCCUACACAGCUCCAAUUUAAAUGAGUUCCCCAUCACCUUAUAACUAUGGUGAAACUCUCCUACUGAAAAUUAGGGGGACAGCAG